rnacentral:rRNA from 1 species
GGAGUUUGGGCCGUGUCUCAGUCCCAAUGUGGCCGUUCAACCUCUCAGUCCGGCUAUAGAUCGUAGCUUUGGUAGGCCGUUACCCCACCAACUGGCUAAUCUAACGCGGGUCCAUCCUUUAGCGAAAUUCUUUCCUCACUGCUUCAUGCGAAGCUGUAAGCAUAUGGGAUAUUAUCAGAAAUUUCUCUCUGUUAUCUCCCUCUAAAGGGCAGGUUACCCACGCGUUACUCACCCGUCCGCCACUAGAAUUUCCAAUCAUCCAGCGAACCUUCAGAUUAGAGUUCCCGUUCGACUUGCAUGUGUUAGGCACGCCGCCAGCGUUCAUC